UACGUAGGGUGCAGGCGUUAAUCGGAAUUACUGGGCGUAAAGCGUGCGCAGGCGGUUUGCUAAGACAGGUGUGAAAUCCCCGGGCUUAACCUGGGAACUGCGCUUGUAACUGGCAAGCUUGAGUGUGGCAGAGGGGGGUGGAAUUCCCAGUGUAGCGGUGAAAUGCGUAGAUAUUGGGAGGAACACCAGUGGCGAAGGCGGCUCACUGGACCGGAACUGACGCUGAGGCGCGAAAGCGUGGGGAGCAAACGGG
rnacentral:rRNA from 1 species